AUAUUGGGCAAUGGGCGCAAGCCUGACCCAGCAACGCCGCGUGAAGGAUGAAGGCUUUCGGGUUGUAAACUUCUUUUAUCAGGGACGAACAAAGUGACGGUACCUGAUGAAUAAGCCACGGCUAACUACGUGCUAGCAGCCGCGGUAAUACGUAGGUGGCAAGCGUUAUCCGGAUUUACUGGGUGUAAAGGGCGUGUAGGCGGGACUGCAAGUCAGGUGUGAAAACCACGGGCUCAACCUGUGGCCUGCAUUUGAAACUGUAGUUCUUGAGUGCUGGAGAGGCAAUCGGAAUUCCGUGUGUAGCGGUGAAAUGCGUAGAUAUACGGAGGAACACCAGUGGCGAAGGCGGAUUGCUGGACAGUAACUGACGCUGAGGCGCGAAAGCGUGGGGAGCAAACAG
rnacentral:rRNA from 1 species